GGGGGGGGGGGGGCAUCCUUAGGGAGUGUUUCAAGGGUAGAGAAAACACCAGGUUCACUACAACUCUGACUCGACAGUAGUCAUUAGUCAUAAGUUCAUAAGUUCAUGGGCCAAGGCAAGCCGUAACCUAAUGGAGACUAUUUCAAAGUAGCUUUUAGCUGUAACAAUGUCUCCGGCUCCAACACACCAGCACUCCAGGGCUUGAGCUUGGUUUCAGUUUCAGAGGAGGGAAUUGUGGCUCCAAGAAUUAACCCCUUUGUUCCUUUGGUUUCUGUGGGCCUGGUUCGGGGAGCCCAUCCACAUCACCGCCUUUUGAGAGGCCAUCUGACAACUGUUUCAACAAAGCGACGUCGUCUCAAAACAAGGAAACCAGUUCCAUGAAAUGGAGGGUCUCUCCCUCCCUUCCCUUCCCCCUCCCUCCCUCUCCUUCUCACUCUCCUCUACCCACAGCUCAUGGCAACAUGGGAUUCAUUCCAAGGGGAGGGGCACCACUUGAGACGCAGCACACAGCCUGGCGCUGGACGCCAAACCCGGCCUGGCCGGCGUGACCCUCCCCCAACUCGGAGGGGGGAGGCACAGGCCGCAUUAGGCAAAAGAGCAGUGCUUGGCCCCCACCAUGGGGGGGCCAGCGCACACCUCGCACAAGGGCGGCUCUUGCCCACACACUGUGGCAAGUAGGCAGCUACUGCCUGCAGACUUCAGAGGAGUAGCUGAAGUCCAGGUACCCCAAGGCCCCCCUCUGAGAGCGCUAGAGAAGACUUUCUCACCGAGGGCGCGUAGUGCCCCACACACCAUCGCUCGCCCCUUCGGGGACCCACAGGAGUGGGAACACACUCCCAAAAAGUGGGAAGCCAGAAGGGGGGGCUGCUCGUGGGGCACACCACCACCACAGUGGGGACCCGAGGGGACUCACCGCUGGGAGAGGAAAACGACACCACCGCUCGGCCUCGGGCAUCUGACAGGCAACCCGGAGUACUCCAGGGGCACCACAGAGGACCAGGGGAGACCAGAGGUCAGGCCAGAGGCCGCACCCCUAUCUUCCCCCACAACACCCGCAGGUGGGGGAGGAGCAGCGAGGGGCCCGCGGACAGAAUGAGAGGUGCGGCCUAGCUCACCGUGAGAGGCUGUCCCUCAUCUGGCGUGGCUUAGGCCCAAGCCCAGGAGAGCGCCACAUCACCACAUUGAUGUAAACCUUUUUUUUUAAUCAUUUCAUAAUUAUGUUGGUUGACUUGUCUGUGAUUCUGAUCUU
rnacentral:lncRNA from 1 species